rnacentral:rRNA from 1 species
AUUGAACGCUGGCGGAAUGCUUUACACAUGCAAGUCGAACGGCAGCACGGGGGCGAACCCUACGGUGGCGAGUGGCGAACGGGUAGAGUAAUACAUCGGAACGUGCCCAGUCGUGGGGGAGUAACUACGCGAAAGACGUAGCUAAUACCGCAUACGAUCUACGGAUGAAAGCGGGGGAGUCGCAAGACCUCGCGCGAUUGGAGCGGCCGAUGGCAGAUUAGGUAGCUGGGAGGUAAAGGCUCACCAAGCCUUCGAUCUGUAGCUGGUCUGAGAGGACGACCAGCCACACUGGGACUGAGACACGGCCCAGACUCCUACGGGAGGGCAGCAGUGGGAAUUUUGGACAAUGGGCGCAAGCCUGAUCCAGCCAUUCCGCGUGCAGGAUGAAGG